GGUUCCUUGGAAGGUAGAUUACAAGUAGCUAUCAAUUAACAAUUGUAAGAUAUUAAAAAACUCAUUGUGUUGGUUAAGUCCUUCUGAGAUAGCUGGAAACCUCUCAAGAUGUGAGUAGCCCCAUCUCUUCUAGACCCCACCCAAUGUUUGCCAUUGCGCACCUGAUCAACCUGCAGCCGGGCAGAAGGGAAAUAGCAGCGUAGAGCAAAAUUUAUGGGAAAGGGAGACACAAAUGAUCUUCUAUCUCAAGAAAGCUGAGAACAGAACACAUCACAAAGUCAUCUUCUGAAAAAAGAAAUCCUGGAUUUGCUUGUCUGUACUGAGACAAAUAUGUAAGAAUUCUGCUGCCAGCA